rnacentral:ncRNA from 1 species
GUCUUCGAGGAGCGUUGCGACGGGUUUUCUGUAAUCCGCCAGGCUCGAAGGUGCUCAAUACGGCGGACUCCCUGAAUCCGCCGCACUGAAACGGCGCUCACGUCUU